rnacentral:rRNA from 1 species
GUCUACAGCCGUGCCACCCUGAACAAGCCCGGUCCUGUCUGAUCUCAGAAGCUAAGCAGGAUGGGGCCUGGUUAGUCCUUGGAUGGGAGACCACCCAGGAAGACUAGGUGCUGUAGGCG